rnacentral:rRNA from 1 species
GACGAACGCUGGCGGCACGCUUAACACAUGCAAGUCGAACGAGAGAAGAGAAUCUUGCUUUUCUGAUCUAGUGGCGGACGGGUGAGUAACACGUGAGCAAUCUGCCUUUCAGAGGGGGAUACCGAUUGGAAACGAUCGUUAAUACCGCAUAACAUAAUUGAACCGCAUGAUUUGAUUAUCAAAGAUUUAUCGCUGAAAGAUGAGCUCGCGUCUGAUUAGCUAGUUGGUAAGGUAACGGCUUACCAAGGCGACGAUCAGUAGCCGGACUGAGAGGUUGAUCGGCCACAUUGGGACUGAGACACGGCCCAGACUCCUACGGGAGGCAGCAGUGAGGAAUAUUGCACAAUGGAGGAAACUCUGAUGCAGCGAUGCCGCGUGAGGGAAGAAGGUUUUAGGAUUGGAAACCUCUGUCUUCAGGGACGAAAAAAGACGGUACCUGAGGAGGAAGCUCCGGCUAACUACGUG